AGCUAGAGAUUGCAGGAAUGGGACCCAUUAGAAAUGAACUUUACAAGGCCAGAAGGCCCAGAACACAGCAAGAAAAGCAAUCAGUUUUUGUCCUUUUUUUAAAACAAUGGCUUACCUUUACUAAUAUCUCCUUCUUGAGGGAAUGGUAUUCAUUUUGGUUAAACAUGGCAGAAACUUCAACAACCACAAAUAUCUUUUGCCACAAACUUUACCCUUUAUUUUGGAGAUGGGGAAGAUGCUUGUGAGUGUGGGACUACAGAAGGACAAAUAUGUGUUGAAGAAGCAAAUUCUUUCUCUCUAUUAUAUGCGCAUCAUUGCAUGCUCACAUUUCUGGUCGAGUAUCGGCAAGAAUCAAAACCAGUGUCUGCAGUCUGCUUCAGUCACAGACUACGUACUGGCAUUAUGUGAAAAACUAAGAAGAGAUCCCAAGGGCACAACUUGUUGUAUGUAGAACAUGUAUUGAUCCAUCUCAAUCCCCACCUGCAGCUACAGUGCGUUGUAUUAUUAUCAUUAUUUUGCCGGUAAUGAUAAUUGAACCACAGGCAUCAACAUGUUUCUAGCACUAUUUGCACCUGUAUCUGGUUGUCACUGGUUUUGUACAAGCUUCAUGUGAACCGAAGUUAAAACGGUAAAAACCCAUUGCCCAAAACUCCAAAUCCGGAGCAGAGAAAAAGCUAAAACACUAGUUGAAGAAAUAUAGGUGAUCUAAACAUACGAAUAGCCAUGUUUA
rnacentral:misc_RNA from 1 species